rnacentral:rRNA from 1 species
AGAGUUUGAUCCUGGCUCAGGACGAACGCUGGCGGCGUGCUUAACACAUGCAAGUCGAACGAGAAGUCGGAGCUUGCUCUGAUGGAUAGUGGCGAACGGGUGAGUAACACGUGAGUAACCUGCCCCCGACUCUGGGAUAACUCUGGGAAACUGGAGCUAAUACUGGAUACGAGACGCUCGGGCAUCUGAAGCGUCUGGAAAGAAUUUCGGUCAGGGAUGGACUCGCGGCCUAUCAGCUUGUUGGCGGGGUAACGGCCCACCAAGGCGACGACGGGUAGCCGGCCUGAGAGGGCGAUCGGCCACACUGGAACUGAGACACGGUCCAGACUCCUACGGGAGGCAGCAGUGGGGAAUAUUGCACAAUGGGCGCAAGCCUGAUGCAGCAACGCCGCGUGGGGGAUGAAGGCCUUCGGGUUGUAAACCCCUUUCAGCAGGGAAGAAGCGAAAGUGACGGUACCUGCAGAAGAAGCGCCGGCUAACUACGUGCCAGCAGCCGCGGUAAUACGUAGGGCGCAAGCGUUGUCCGGAAUUAUUGGGCGUAAAGAGCUCGUAGGCGGUUUGUCGCGUCUGCUGUGAAAUUUCGAGGCUCAACCUCGGAACUGCAGUGGGUACGGGCAGACUAGAGUGUGGUAGGGGAGAUCGGAAUUCCUGGUGUAGCGGUAAAAUGCGCAGAUAUCAGGAGGAACACCAAUGGCGAAGGCAGAUCUCUGGGCCACAACUGACGCUGAGGAGCGAAAGCAUGGGGAGCAAACAGGAUUAGAUACCCUGGUAGUCCAUGCCGUAAACGGUGGGCACUAGAUGUGGGGGCCAUUCCAUGGUUUCCGCGUCGCAGCUAACGCAUUAAGUGCCCCGCCUGGGGAGUACGGCCGCAAGGCUAAAACUCAAAGGAAUUGACGGGGCCCCGCACAAGCGGCGGAGCAUGCGGAUUAAAUUCGAUGCAACGCGAAGAACCUUACCAAGGCUUGACAUAUGCGAUUUAUCCCUAGAGAUAGGGAGUCCUUCGGGGUCGUAUACAGGUGGUGCAUGGUUGUCGUCAGCUCGUGUCGUGAGAUGUUGGGUUAAGUCCCGCAACGAGCGCAACCCUCGUUCUAUGUUGCCAGCACGUAAUGGUGGGAACUCAUAGGAGACUGCCGGGGAUAACUCGGAGGAAGGUGGGGACGACGUCAAAUCAUCAUGCCCCUUAUGUCUUGGGCUUCACGCAUGCUACAAUGGCCGGUACAGAGGGCUGCGAUAUCGCAAGAUGGAGCGAAUCCCAAAAAGCCGGUCUCAGUUCGGAUUGAGGUCUGCAACUCGACCUCAUGAAGUCGGAGUCGCUAGUAAUCGCAGAUCAGCAACGCUGCGGUGAAUACGUUCCCGGGGCUUGUACACACCGCCCGUCAAGUCACGAAAGUCGGUAACACCCGAUGCCGGUGGCCUAACCCGCAAGGGAGGGAGCCGUUUAAGGUGGGAUUGGCGAUUGGGACUAAGUCGUAACAAGGUA